UCUUUCAGGUGAUAGAUCCAGAUUUCCCAUCAAAACAUGAAAUUGGAGCAACACUUCUGCACGAGUGUUACCAUCUUUUUGCUCCUGUUGGUUUUAUCGAUAAAGUUGCAAUACUGUUCUGCUUUAAUAUUGCGCUGUAUGAAAAAUGGUGGAAAACGGCACUGACACGUGACUAUAUAUGAUUGGGUUUUACCAGGAUUACAAGAAAGCACUGCAAAUGAUCACGUCCCGGGAUGAAGAUGUUGGCCACCGGAUACUGCUUAUGAAAGAUCAUCUCCACAGCCUGUUCUCGGAGUCUUUGUUGGAAGUGUUUCCUGACGCCACUUUUAUCAACCCCGUGCGGAACCCAGUGGACAUUGUAAGCUCGUGGUGCUCAGUUGUUGAUUCCCUUCUGCCGAUGUACGUCAACCCUGGGGUAAUAACAAAAUUUGA